CAAACAUGGAUUAGGCACUUAUCGGUUUUUUGUCUAUUGAAAAAGUAUUUUUAAUGCUAUUAUUUUGCAUUCACAGAAUUUCAGCACUGGAAGUGUUACAGGAUGGAAGAGUUGCCCUGUAGUUGAAAAAACACUGAGAGUGCAUUACUGUUAAGAAUCUUUCAUAGUGUCACAGCUAGAAGCCUCAAAUAAUUCUGCUUCUCUGGCUACAGAACAACUUGUCCUUUACGUUCAGAGUGUUGGUGAAGCUGGAUACUUAAAUGGCCCUAAAGAUGUUUCACUUUGCUGGCAUUGCAGCGAUGAACAUCAUACAUGGACUCUUUAGGAAAGGAUUUUCAUAUACUGGGAACAUAACUAUCAACAAUGCAACAUUCUAAGGGUGC